rnacentral:lncRNA from 1 species
UUCUAGUCCAUGUGGCCUGGUGCACCCAGGCAGGCAUAGCCAAAUAUCUCUAGGCAGAGCCCCCACCCCAGUGCUGCUUCUUUUUUCCUCUCCUGGAGGAAUUUCCAAUUCAAUAUUACUGCUGGCCUUACCUAAGGGAGCCAGAACCUUAAGCCAUUAACCCUUUCCAACCUGAUGGGUUUUUCUCUUUGCAGCUAAUAAAAACCUAAACAAUGGGUUCAUAUGCUGAUAAUCAGCUCUUUUCUGUGCUGCUGUCCCUGACUCAUCUGAGAGCGUUCACCUGUCUUGAAGAAGGGAAGUUACUACUGUUCUGCAGGACUCUCCACUGUGACAUACGGUUUGAUCCCCAGACCUUAUUUAAGGGAUGACUGACCUUUUCUGUAAUAAUGCCUGGCCACAGUAUAGGGCCCCAAACAACAUAAAAAAAAAGGGGGGGGGGUUAAACUACUAGAUCAAUUUUUCAGUGUACGCGUUAAAUGGGCAGAACUCCCCUUUUAAACCAAACUAAAAAAUAGAUAAAAAGUUAAACUGAGGACCUCAAAGUAUGCAAGCAGGUCACCACAGUUGAUCUUACCUAAAGGGUCAUAGUUCUCCUCAUGGGCACAGUCUUAACUCGCAGGAAAAUACUAAGUGUCAGAAUUUGCCCAUGACCAUAAUUUUUCUAGCUCACCCUAAUAUUAAAAAAUCUCCAAAAAUCAGGGUUGGGUUGGGCACCCCCCUUGACUGGCAUCAUAGAGGCUGCCUCCAUGGUCCA